GCGUUGGUGGUGUAAUGGUCAGCAUAGUUGCCUUCCAAGAGUUGAUCCGGGUUCGAUUCCCGGCCUACGCA
rnacentral:tRNA from 1 species